rnacentral:pre_miRNA from 1 species
UGUUAAAAAAUUCAUCAAUUUCUUCUGUUAAAAACUGACGUGAUUGAUAAAGUAACCAGACAAUUAUAUGUGACGUGCCACGUGUACCUCAUUUCGACAUAAACGGAUCAAUUUUUAAUAGUAGAAUUCGAAAAAAUUUUAACA